AACAUCCUGCUAAGUCUUCUCUCCUCUGAUCAAACCCAGCGCACAAAUCCUACUUUCAGAUAUGCAUCUGUGGCCACCUGUAAUCAUUUGUACUGUUAUAUUGGGCUUCUCCAAGGCUGACAAAGUCUUACAGAACCCAUUUAUAUCAGUUCAGAAUGGGGAAAAGGUCACUUUUAAUUGUACGUAUGAAACAACAGAGAGCAACCCAUACCUGCACUGGUAUAUCCAAAGGCCGGGAGUGAGACCUCACUUUAUCCUACUCAGGCAUCAGUUCAGCAAGGAAGAGGAUGAACCUGGGGGAAAGUAUUCAUCAAAACUAAACAAGGAGAGCAAAUACACUGAGCUGAGGAUCUCUGGUGUCAGUGUGUCUGACUCUGGGCUGUAUUAUUGUGCUCUGCGUCCCACAGUGUCUCUCUCUGCUGCCUCCUCUGUACAAGAAGCUCUGACUCUGUCCAUGGUGCUUCUGAAUUGCAGUAUCUCUCUCUUCCUCUGCACCAAACACUGUUCAACAAACUCUUCGAGGUGCUGCCGACAACUGUAAAUGUCUGU